CCCUCUUCUGGUAUGCAGGCAUACAUGCAGGCAGAGCACUGUAUAUAUAAUAAAUAAAUCUUUUUUAAAAACCCACUCUAGAAAACAUUUUAUCUUUGAAAAGCAUCUCCUUUGCAGUUGAUGGCAAUGAAUGUGCAGAGUAUAGACUGGUGAGUGCUCGACCCUAAAUGGGACAUCUGCAUCACACUGAUCCCUACAAAGCUCAGGGAUCUUCUUGGAAGAGGACUUGGAAAGAUCCAGAGGUGGUGGAUAAUCAAGGGAACUAUAUGCUGGAUACAAACGGGCAGUUAUACACAUGAACUUAGAGUGAUUGUAACCCCAUGCACAAGACUUGUGCAAGCUCCAGUCAGAUAAAAGAUCACAGUACAGAAGGGGAAAGGAGGCACAAAAUCCCACCACUAGCUAAGAUGCUACUGGCAUUUGAUGACUGCUGAGAGAGAGGAUCAGGAUUCUUUAAUGACAUGACCCUUGGUAGGUUGACCAUAGGCUCUGACAGGUCACACUUCCAAACUAGCUAACAACACAAAUUGUACUUGAUGGAAGAAAAACAAAUCUCAAAACUGAAUGAGAAGGAAUGAGAGGAUAGAGAAGGUAGUUAUGGGAGGAGUUUGGUGAAAAGGGUAAAUAUGUUCAAAAUGUGUCACAUGAAAUUCCCAGAGAAUGAAUGUUUAAAAGAUAGAUGCAAGAGGUAUGAUGUAGAUGUAUGGAUUGGUUUCCUGCAAUCUCCUGAUUUCUGUGUUGUGUCCAUAAAUACUGUACUACUUCAAAAACAGCACAGGAUCCUUAAAACAGUUUUGUUUAAAGUAAAACACUGAAAAAGCCAGCCUUCAUGUGAAUGAUGGUCAUGCAUUAUAACUUCAAUCUGCAGUAUCUUUCAAAGGUACAUGUGUUAGGCUCAGCAGAUAAAAGGGUUUGCUGUACAAGACUGGCAACCUAUGUUUGAACCCACAUAAAGGUAGAAGUAAAAAAUCAGUUACACAUAGCUGUCCUCUAACCUCCACACAUGUGCCAUGACAUGUGAGGCCUCUCACAAUAAUAAAAGUUUUAGAAGGUCUAUAUUUGGAACAUCUGUAUUAUAUUUUUCCCCCAAGGCUUAGGGAACAUUGAGGAAGUGGGGCAGAAAGAUUGUAAGAACUAGAAGUCAGGGAGGACUACUAUGAAGUAGUGUCUUCUGAACAUAACAGAGUCCUUAUACUCCUAAACUGAGCAACUGUAGUUGCCUGCCCAGCAUUUGCACAAGAUCAAGCCAAUCAACUCUCCAACACUGUGAUUGCCUGCCUGAUACUUGAACAAGGUCAGCCAAGUUGGUCAACACUCCAACAUAGAUAAGGGUGAAAAAGGAAACAGGGUCAGAAAGUUUGGAUGGCCUAUCCAGCUCAUACCAGCUCAAUCACUGAACUGUGGUGUAGCCCUCUUUGCUGUCCUCUUGUGGUUACUAGAGGAACAAGGCUCACUCCAACCUCCUAUGUGAAGCCUUUUCCAACAAUCACACACAGAAAGAUCUGGUCCCUGCUUGAUGCUCAUGCAAUGAAUGCUCCAUUCAGAUUUCCAAGAACCCAUUUCUAUGCCUGUCUGGCUAUUUGUAUUUCUAGUCUAGCAUCUCCAUCACCUAGGAACUGGUUAGAAUAAGCCCCACUCUAGAUCUGUUGACUAAACAUCUAUGAAUAUAUUAUUCAGGCAAUUCAGGUGUUUUAUGUGCAUUUAUACUAAUAUAUGAGAAGCUAAUUCUGUAUUAUUUGACCCCAAGCUCUAGAAUCAAAGCUCAGAAGUCAUUAUGUUCAUAGGGAGUACAUUAGUGUCCAAUAAUGUGAUCUGUGUUUAAUAAGUGUUUUGAUUAGAUUAUCCACCAUCAAUUAUGCAAUUUUAGUUUCUUGUGUAAUUAAUUCUUCAUGUACUCUCCUUGGCUUGGAAAUUAAAAACAUUUUUCAAUAUAAAA